rnacentral:rRNA from 1 species
GAUGAACGCUGGCGGCGUGCCUAAUACAUGCAAGUCGAGCGAACAGACGAGGAGCUUGCUCCUCUGACGUUAGCGGCGGACGGGUGAGUAACACGUGGAUAACCUACCUAUAAGACUGGGAUAACUUCGGGAAACCGGAGCUAAUACCGGAUAAUAUAUUGAACCGCAUGGUUCAAUAGUGAAAGACGGUUUUGCUGUCACUUAUAGAUGGAUCCGCGCCGCAUUAGCUAGUUGGUAAGGUAACGGCUUACCAAGGCAACGAUGCGUAGCCGACCUGAGAGGGGGAGCGGCCACACUGGAACUGAGACACGGUCCAGACGCCUACGGGAGGCAGCAGUAGGGAAUCUUCCGCAAGGGGCGAAAGCCUGACGGAGCAACGCCGCGUGAGUGAUGAAGGGCUUCGGAUCGUAAAACUCUGUUAUUAGGGAAGAACAAAUGUGUAAGUAACUAUGCACGUCUUGACGGUACCUAAUCAGAAAGCCACGGCUAACUACGUGC